rnacentral:rRNA from 1 species
AGAGUUUGAUCCUGGCUCAGAUUGAACGCUGGCGGCAUGCUUUACACAUGCAAGUCGAGCGGCAGCGCGGGGGCAACCCUGGCGGCGAGCGGCGAACGGGUGAGGAAUGCGUCGGAACGUGUCCCGUAGAGGGGGAUAGCUCGGCGAAAGCCGGAUUAAUACCGCAUAUGCUCUACGGAGGAAAGCAGGGGACCAGUAAUGGCCUUGCGCUAUGGGAGCGGCCGAUGCCCGAUUAGCUUGUUGGUGAGGUAAAGGCUUACCAAGGCGACGAUCGGUAGCUGGUCUGAGAGGAUGAUCAGCCACACUGGGACUGAGACACGGCCCAGACUCCUACGGGAGGCAGCAGUGGGGAAUUUUGGACAAUGGGGGAAACCCUGAUCCAGCCAUGCCGCGUGAGUGAAGAAGGCCUUCGGGUUGUAAAGCUCUUUUGGUCGGGAAGAAAGGGUUUCCUUGAAUACGGGAGACUUUUGACGGUACCGGCAGAAUAAGCACCGGCUAACUACGUGCCAGCAGCCGCGGUAAUACGUAGGGUGCGAGCGUUAAUCGGAAUUACUGGGCGUAAAGAGUGCGUAGGCGGUUCGUUAUGUCUGCUGUGAAAGCCCCGGGCUUAACCCGGGAAUGGCAGUGGAAACUGGCGGGCUUGAGUGUGGCAGAGGGGGGUGGAAUUCCGCGUGUAGCAGUGAAAUGCGUANAGA